AAUAGUACGUGCUCCGAAGCUGGAUUACCUAAAGCAGAGGCUAUGGUGACCAGACUAGUGUCUUAAGACACUCGGGUAUUACGGGAAACUGUGAUAUCUCCUGCUGGAAAGGAGUCUGUCGACAGGUGGA
rnacentral:ncRNA from 2 species